AUACGGAGGGUGCGAGCGUUAAUCGGAAUUACUGGGCGUAAAGCGUACGUAGGCGGUUGGUUAAGUUAGAUGUGAAAGCCCCGGGCUUAACCUGGGAACUGCAUUUAAAACUGGCGAACUAGAGUUGAGUAGAGGGGAGUGGAAUUUCAGGUGUAGCGGUGAAAUGCGUAGAGAUCGGAAGGAACACCAGUGGCGAAGGCGACUCCCUGGACUCGAACUGACGCUGAGGUACGAAAGCGUGGGUAGCAAACGGGAUUAGAUACCCUAGUAGUCC
rnacentral:rRNA from 1 species